CCCUAGCCCCGAUAGAAGUGGAAAUCCUUUUUAUUUUUUCUUUAAAAAUAAAAAGAUUGUAGCGUAUAGCGGGAAAAAGC
rnacentral:sRNA from 1 species